rnacentral:rRNA from 1 species
AGAGUUGAUCAUGGCUCAGGAUGAACGCUGGCGGCGUGCUUAACACAUGCAAGUCGAACGGAGUUUAGAGAGCUUGCUCUUAAACUUAGUGGCGGACGGGUGAGUAACGCGUGGGUAACCUGCCUUUCACUGGGGGAUAACAGUUAGAAAUGACUGCUAAUACCGCAUAAGCGCACGGGACGGCAUCGUCCAGUGUGAAAAAACUCCGGUGGUGAAAGAUGGACCCCGCGUCUGAUUAGCCAGUUGGCAGGGUAACGGCCUACCAAAGCGACGAUCAGUAGCCGGCCUGAGAGGGUGAACGGCCACAUUGGGACUGAGACACGGCCCAAACUCCUACGGGAGGCAGCAGUGGGGAAUAUUGCACAAUGGGGGAAACCCUGAUGCAAGCGACGCCGCGUGAGUGAAGAAGUAUCUCGGUAUGUAAAGCUCUAUCAGCAGGGAAGAAAAUGACGGUACCUGACUAAGAAGCCCCGGCUAACUACGUGCCAGCCGCCGC